GGGAAGGGAGGUGAGCGGGAGGAAGCCGGAGGAAGACAAGAUGGACAGUGACAGGGAAGUAAACAGCGGGUGAGAAACCAUGUCCUGGACUCGGGGCUGCAAAGACGGGGCCCAGAAGGGGCUCCCUCCCCUGGCAGCUCCAUGGCUCCCCAGAGUGCGCAGAACACACACAAAAGACAAAGUCUUUUCCACCAGAGAAGGCCCCACGCGCUGAUUCAGCACACCAGUCCCACGUCUGGCUGCCCACUGAAGGCACAAUGGAUAAACCCAAGUCUCAGGAGGGGACACGUGUACACCCGUGGUGGACUCACGCUGACUAUGGCAGAGACCAACACAGCAUUGUAAAG